rnacentral:rRNA from 1 species
UUCCGGUUGAUCCUGCCGGACCUUACUGCUAUCGGGAUGGGACUAAGACAUGCAUGUCGUGCGUCUCUCAGCUAUGAAGGAGACGCGGCACACGGCUCAGUAACAUGUGGCUAACCUAACCUUAGGACAGAGACGACCCCGGGAAACUGGGGCUAAUCCCUGAUAGGCGUGGACUCCUGGAAUGGAUCCAUACCCAAAGGAUAUUUGAAUCAUGCUUCAGAUCUCGCCUAAGGAUGGGGCCGCAGCCGAUCAGGUUGUUGGCGAGGUAAUGGCUCACCAAGCCUUUGACCGGUACGGGCCGCGAGAGCGGUAGCCCGGAGAUGGACACUGAGACAAGGGUCCAGGCCCUACGGGGCGCAGCAGUUACGAAAACUCACCAAUGCGCGAAAGCGUGAGUGGGCUAUCCCGAGUGCCGUCCGCUGAGGAUGGCUUUUCUUCAGUGUAAGGAGCUGGAGGAAUAAGGAGAGGGCAAGUCUGGUGUCAGCCGCCGCGGUAAUACCAGCUCUCCGAGUGGUAAGGACGUUUAUUGGGCUUAAAGCGUCCGUAGCUGGCUCAGCAAGUCUUCCGUUAAAUCCAGCGAUUCAAUCGUUGGACUGCGGGAGAUACUGUUAGGCUAGGAGACGGGAGAGGCCAACGGUAUUCUCGGAGUAGGGGUGAAAUCCUAUAAUUCCGGGAGGACCACCAGUGGCGAAGGCUGUUGGCUAGAACGAGCUCGACGGUGAGGGACGAAAGCUGGGGGAGCGAACCGGAUUAGAUACCCGGGUAGUCCCAGCUGUAAACGAUGCGGGCUAGGUGUUAGGGUGGCUACGAGCCACUCUAGUGCCGCAGCGAAGGCAUUAAGCCCGCCGCCUGGGGAGUACGGCCGCAAGGCUGAAACUUAAAGGAAUUGGCGGGGGAGCACCACAAGGCGUGAAGCGUGCGGUUUAAUUGGAGUCAACGCCGGAA